GGGACAAUUUUGAAUUAAUUAGUUUCUUUUUUUCUAUUCUGAUGUUUCUGAAUUUGCAAGAUUGUUUU
rnacentral:snoRNA from 2 species